CUUUUUUACCUCUUCUGCUCCUCCAUAUUUGUUCAAAACGAGCACGUUUUGCAUUUUCCUGAGACAACAGACCCCAUAAAACUACAAGAAUAUGAAAGUAAAAGCAAAAAACAAAUCCUUUUUCCCUACAUCACAAGAUAGCUGCUCCUGUUUAAAAUUGUACUUGAUGCAGACAAACUUCUUAAGAUUGUUCAGAUUCUCCAUAUUUUGGAUUAAAACAAUAAUAUGAACAAGUUUCUACAAGGAAAAGAGUAACUCUAAGCAAACUUGGUCAGUUUGGUUCUCUUAGCAACACCAGCAACUUGUAAAAUUUUU